rnacentral:tRNA from 1 species
UGAUUAGGGAAUUCGAACCCUCGGUAGUUCCUAGAACUAUACCGGUUUUCAAGACCGGAGCUAUCAACCACUCAGCCAUCUCUCC